rnacentral:rRNA from 1 species
GCAGUCGACGCUGAAGCUGGGUGCUUGCACCUGGUGGAUGAGUGGCGAACGGGUGAGUAAUACGUGAGUGACCUUCCUUGGACUCUGGGAUAAGCCCGGGAAACUGGGUCUAAUACCGGAUACGACCAGUCCUCGCAUGGGGUGCUGGUGGAAAGGGUUUGUACUGGUUCUUGAUGGGCUCACGUCCUAUCAGCUUGUUGGUGAGGUAAUGGCUUACCAAGGCGACGACGGGUAGCCGGCCUGAGAGGGUGACCGGCCACACUGGGACUGAGACACGGCCCAGACUCCUACGGGAGGCAGCAGUGGGGAAUAUUGCACAAUGGGCGCAAGCCUGAUGCAGCGACGCCGCGUGGGGGAUGACGGCCUUCGGGUUGUAAACCUCUUUCAGCAGGGAAGAAGCGAAAGUGACGGUACCUGCAGAAGAAGCGCCGGCUAACUACGUGCCAGCAGCCGCGGUAAUACGUAGGGCGCAAGCGUUGUCCGGAAUUAUUGGGCGUAAAGAGCUCGUAGGCGGUUUGUCGCGUCUGCUGUGAAAGCCCGGGGCUCAACCCCGGGUGUGCAGUGGGUACGGGCAGGCUGGAGUGCAGUAGGGGAGACUGGAAUUCCUGGUGUAGCGGUGAAAUGCGCAGAUAUCAGGAGGAACACCGAUGGCGAAGGCAGGUCUCUGGGCUGUUACUGACGCUGAGGAGCGAAAGCAUGGGGAGCGAACAGGAUUAGAUAC